rnacentral:rRNA from 1 species
UACGUAGGGUGCAAGCGUUAAUCGGAAUUACUGGGCGUAAAGCGUGCGCAGGCGGCUUUGCAAGACAGAUGUGAAAUCCCCGGGCUUUACCUGGGAACUGCAUUUGUGACUGCAUGGCUGGAGUGCGGCAGAGGGGGAUGGAAUUCCGCGUGUAGCAGUGAAAUGCGUAGAUAUGCGGAGGAACACCGAUGGCGAAGGCAAUCCCCUGGGCCUGCACUGACGCUCAUGCACGAAAGCGUGGGGAGCAAACAGG